rnacentral:rRNA from 1 species
GAUGAACGCUGGCGGCGUGCCUAAUACAUGCCAGUCGAGCGAACAGACGAGGAGCUUGCUCCUCUGACGUUAGCGGCGGACGGGUGAGUAACACGUGGAUAACCUACCUAUAAGACUGGGAUAACUUCGGGAAACCGGAGCUAAUACCGGAUAAUAUAUUGAACCGCAUGGUUCAAUAGUGAAAGACGGUUUUGCUGUCACUUAUAGAUGGAUCCGCGCCGCAUUAGCUAGUUGGUAAGGUAACGGCUUACCAAGGCAACGAUGCGUAGCCGACCUGAGAGGGUGAUCGGCCACACUUGAACUGAGACACGGUCCAGAAUCCUACGGGAGGCAGCAGUAGGGAAUCUUCCGCAAUGGGCGAAAGCCUGACGGAGCACCGCCGCGUGAGUGAUGAAGGUCUUCGGAUCGUAAAACUCUGUUAUGAGGGAAGAACAAAUGUGUAAGUAACUAUGCACGUCUUGACGGUACCUAAUCAGAAAGCCACGGCUAACUACGU